UUGCGGUUAAAAAGCUCGUAGUUGGAUUUCUGUUGAGGACGACCGGUCGGCACUAUGUGCUUGUAUCUGGUUCGGCCUUGGCAUCCUUCUGGGGAACGGUGCUGCGCUUGAUUGCGUGGUCCGGUAUUCAGAACUUUUACUUUGAGGAAAUCAGAGUGUUUACGGCAGGCAUACGCCUUGAAUACAUUAGCAUGGAAUAAUACUAUAGGACCUUGGUUCUAUUUUGUUGGUUUCUAGAACUAAGGUAAUGAUUAAUAGGGAUAAUUGGGGGCAUUCGUAUUAACACGUCAGAGGUGAAAUUCUUGGAUUGUGUUACGACGAACUACUGCGAAAGCAUUUGCCAAGGAUGUUUUCAUUGAUCAAGAACGAAAGUGCGGGGAUCGAAGACGAUUAGAUACCGUCGUAGUCUGCACCAUAAACUAUGCCAACUAGAGAUUGGUGGUCGUUCUUUUUAUGACUCCAUCAGCACCUUAUGAGAAAUCAAAGUCUUUGGGUUCCGGGGGGAGUAUGGUCGCAAGGCUGAAACUUAAAGGAAUUGACGGAAGGGCACCACCAGGAGUGGAGCCUGCGGCUUAAUUUGACUCAACACGGGAAAACUUACCAGGUCCAGACAUAGUAAAGAUUGACAGAUUGAUAGCUCUU
rnacentral:rRNA from 1 species